AACGAACGCCGGCGGCGUGGAUAAGACAUGCAAGUCGAACGGGAUUUUUUCCUGUAGCAAUACAGGAAAAAGUCUAGUGGCGAACGGGUGCGUAACACGUGAGCAACCUGCCGUGAAGUGGGGGAUAGCUCGCCGAAAGGCGAAUUAAUACCGCAUGUGGCCAAGGAAGACAUCCUCCUGACGCCAAAGCCGGGGCAACCUGGCGCUUCUCGAGGGCCUCGCGGGCUAUCAGCGUGUUGGUGAGGUAACGGCUCACCAAGGCUAUGACGGGUAGCUGGUCUGAGAGGACGACCAGCCACACUGGAACUGAGACACGGUCCAGACACCUACGGGUGGCAGCAGUCGAGAAUUUUUCACAAUGGGGGAAACCCUGAUGGAGCGACGCCGCGUGGAGGAUGAAGGUUUUCGGAUUGUAAACUCCUGUCAUUAGAGAACAAGGCGCACGGUUUAACUGGCCGUGCGUUGAUAGUAUCUGAAGAGGAAGAGACGGCUAACUCUGUGCCAGCAGCCGCGGUAA
rnacentral:rRNA from 1 species